rnacentral:rRNA from 1 species
UACGAGGGGGGCGAGCGUUGUUCGGAAUUAUUGGGCGUAAAGGGCGCGUAGGCGGUCGGAUAAGUCUUGUGUGAAAUCUUCGGGCUCAACUCGAAGUCUGCACAGGAAACUAUCUGGCUUGAGUGUGGGAGAGGUGAGUGGAAUUCCUGGUGUAGCGGUGAAGUGCGUAGAUAUCAGGAGGAACACCUGUGGCGAAAGCGGCUCACUGGACCACAACUGACGCUGAGGCGCGAAAGCUAGGGGAGCAAACAGG